AUGGAUCAUUUGAUUUUAUUUUUGUGGAUGCUGAUAAAGACAACUAUCUUAAUUACCACAAAAGAUUAAUUGAUCUUGUGAAAAUUGGAGGAGUGAUUGGCUAUGAUAACACCCUUUGGAAUGGGUCUUUGGUGGCACCUGCUGAUGCUCCACUGCGAAAGUAUGUUAGAUAUUAUAGAGACUUCGUAUUAGAGCUCAAUAAAGCGUUGGCUGUUGAUCCAAGAGUAGAGAUAUGUCAGCUUCCGGUGGGUGAUGGAAUCACUCUGUGUCGCCGUAUAAGCUAAACACAUAUCAUGGACAACCGAAAUAAACAAUUAAUAUUUAUGUUCAUACCUUGAAAACUUGUAAAUGAAUCAUAUCUUUCAUUGAUUUCCAUUCUAUCAAUUUGCAUUGAUCAUGUAUUAAAUUAUGUUUCCAUAAUGAGGAUUUAAAGCACGAGUAUUGCGGCCAAAGUUUAUUAAUUCUAUAUGUGCAAAAGGGUAUAUUUGACUGAAGAAACUAAUGCAAAACGUUAAAACAUUAUUUUUCGACAACCUGGACCUUUUCCAUAAUUAUACUACUACACAUGACUACAUGAGCCAUUUCUAUUGUUUUAUUUUUAAAUAUAAGAUAUAAGAUAUAGGUCAUCUCUAUAAUAUUAAUAUUACACAUGCAUCAUUUCAAUAAAUUUUAAAUUUCCUCCUAUUACAUAUGGACAAUUUCUAUAAUAAUCCUAUUAAAGCACAAUGACAAUUUCUGCAAUUCUUCCAUAUUACCGACACAUUGACCAUUUAUGUAUUUUUACUUUUACAUAGUGAUCAUUUAUGUAAUUUUGUAUAAUUUUUGUUUCUUCAAAUUCAGUAGUUGUAGAUAUAUUUUUGUACUUUUAUUAUUAUACGAGGACCAUCUUUUUAGUUCGCAAAACCAAAAAAAAAAAAACACUAUGUCAUGAAGUGACAAUAAUAAGAGAGACAACAUGGUGUUGGAGAUUAUAAUGGGUAUAUUGUAAGUUGAUCGUAGAAAACGGCUUGACCAAGCCCGGGUUUGCCUUGGGCAGACCGUCUAUUUGGAAUGUUUUUUUUUGUUGUCUUCUUGGGUUUCUACAAUUGUAAAUAUAACUCUCUUGGAGCCGUAUUCCACACCCCAUAUCAUUUAAUAUUUCUUAGCUCUCAUAUCUCUCUCUCUCUCUUAAUGAUUUUUGCAACAACAAAAUCCAGUUUCUUACUUUUUAUAAUUAACUGCUUUGCGUUUAUUUCUUAUUCUAUAGUUGUUGAAAUGAAGGAUAUACUGCAUCAAAUCCUAAGUGUUUACGUUAAAGUUUACAAACUUAGAGUGACAAAAAAACCUUUAAGGAUAAGACCUUCUCUGUGUAGUCUUAUAUAAAUCGACAUCAACAACUAUGAUGUUGGUUUUACUUUUACUGUUUAAUUUUUCUUAUAAUUUUUUCUGAUAACGUGAAAGUCUGCUUCUAUCUAUUUCUUAUAAUCAUAUCUAACCACGAAGGAUCAAUCUGGUUUCCGGACGAAACUUGGUAAUUGUAUUAAUAAUAACUGGAUUUAUUAUUCAUAACUAAUCAACAUAUAAUAAUGAUGUGUCAAAUAAAUACCACAUUUCAAUAAAUUCAAUAAUUACGUGACGAAAAAGAUCAUGUAUUGUCACGUUUAUAUAAUAUUUGUUUGUCAGGAUAUAAAAUGGCGACAUUAAAUAUUCAAAUAAUGUGACAAUAUGGAAGACAAUAGUUAUGUGCAUCUAAAUUGUUUGUGUUGAUAGAACACUAAUGACUACGGUUUAAAUUACUUUCUAUGAUUGUAGUACAAAUAAUAGUCACACUCAACAAUGUUUGCAUGUCUAAAUAAUAAAAUAUUUUAUACUUGUAAACAAUUUUUGUGGUAAUAAUUUGAAUAUUGGUCACAAUUACAACAAUGACUGUGUCUAUAAAUCAUUUAAAGUUAUUUUUAAUUGAUUUUCUAUGUCGAAAUGAUAUAAAAUAGUCAUAGUUACGACUUUUUAUAUGUCCGAAUGAUAACAUCGGUCAUGAUAAGUAAUACAAAUAUGGUUGUAAGUUAAUACUAAAUCUAUAAUUAGUACUUAUGAUCAUGUUGCACUUAAUUGUGUGACUUUACACGAUAGACAAUAGUCACGAACAUAUAUUAUUUUUGUGACUAAUUAUUAGUAAAUUGACACUUAUGAAAUUAAUUACAUGUGACAAUUCAGUGAACAUGGUCAUGCUCACUGUAAUUGCAUGUUUACAAAAGAUACCCAAUAGUCUUAAUAAACUUUAAAUUGUGUGACAACUUAUUAGUAAAACGUCACAUUGAAAACAUGUAUGUCACAAGUUGGUAAUAUACAGUCACUACAAUUACCAAAAAAUGUGUCUACUGACGGUUUAACGCCACAAUAUUAGAUACAAUGAUUGAUUAUAGAAAAAAAUUCUCUACCAAUAGCCACACUUUAAUGAUACGACCAUACCUUUUCAUAUCAUUCGGACACUAAAUUUUAAAAUGACCACAAGACCCUAACAAUUGCAUCACCUUUGGUCACACUUUUAGUGAAAAAAAGUCACUAUAUUCACAUGGUCACACUUUUAUGUUGUGUCCGUUGAUUACUUUUGUACUUCCAUUGGCUGAUGUUUUAUGGUGUGAGCAUUAUCUUUUGUCUAGUUUGUCAUCUGGGGACAACGUUUGGGGCUGCCAAAAAUUAUUCUCUUUUGUCUUCUAUUUAUAUCCGUUUUAGGUCUUGGAGGAGUGUAGCUAUGAAAAGAAUAGAAAAUUGUUAUGAAGAGUUCCUUGCCUCUCGAAAGCUUGGAUUUUAUCUUGUUUAUUGAGUAUUGACACUACAAGAAGAUUAGGCAGCAGCGGCGACACGUGUCGCCGCUAAAGGUUAGGCGGGUCGCCGCUAAUACCUUUAGCGGCGACAUGUCGCUGCAAAUGCGUCGCCGGUAUUGUUUCGUCGCUAAUACGCUUAUUGUUGCCGUUAAUACUCAUUGUCACCGCUAAUACUACGCGUCGUCGCUAAUGCCACCUGUCGCCGCUAAUAGAUUGUCGCCACUAAUACGUGCGUGUCGCCACAAAAGUUGUCGCCACUAAUACUCUUUUGAUUUUUUUUAUUUUUUUUAGUUUAUUUAUUUAACAUUAAAUUUAUAAUCAAUCCAAAUAUUAAUCCAUAUAGCAUUUGAAAAAUCUGAUAAGUUUUUAUAAAUCCAUACCAUAUUAAUCCAUAUUAUACAAUCAAUCCAAAAUAUUAAUCCAUACCACAUUAAGUAUUCUUCCAAAUUACAAAACGUUUCAUAAAAUCCUAGAGUAACUACUCGUCCUCAUCACCAUCUCCUUCAUUAUUUGGUGGCGGCAAUGAGCGAAACCACUCUUUCAAUGCUACAGAACAGGCUGGGUCCUGUAGUAAUUUUUGCAGCAUUUGCAACUAUAAAGAAAACAAAAUAUAUUAACAACCUAUCAGAAUAACAUUAUAAUUAAUUAUACCAUUCUACAAAAUAUCAACAUAUCAAAUACACUUAAACAUACAUCUACUUUCUAUUAUAGCAUUUACUAACAAUUACCUGUGAUUGUGGUUGUUCUUGUGUCAUUGGUUGUUCCUGGUCGUACAUGGACACAACGAUAGGGGGUUUACGCCCAAUGCCUCUGAUAUGUCGACUUCAAACACCCAAUAUUCUUUCAAAACAAUCUUUUAUAUCAGUUGGUGCUAGACCACUUGCCUCAGAAGUAGAUUGGGUUCGUUGGUUUAUAUCCUUGAGUAAAGCAUUCUGUAUUUUUUAAAAAUAAUAAAAAUCAUAAAAAUUAGAUUACUAAAUACCUUUGACGAUAUAAACACUUAUAUGAAAAAUACAAAUUAACCACUUACGUAUUGUUGCUCAACUGCAGGACUAUAAAAUGCCCCUUGGCGAUUGGAAUUAGCCUUACGAAAAACUUCGAUUCGACUGAUAUCCUAUUUAACAUUAAAAUUUAGAUUACUUAUACUUUAAAUAAAUAUUUACAUAUAUCAUAACUUACUUCUUUGAAACAUGCAUUGCUGUAUGAGCUCGACCGCCCUCUGUUUACAACUACUUGUUUUGCACAACAUUAUUUGUUUGACGCCGAACGCCUUAUAAAUUCUGGCAUUUGAAAAUGUUCGACUACCUUCGCCCAAUUUUCAUGUGACAUACCAUUAGGAGGGUUGUUUAAUGCGGCUUGGAUAUCUGCUGGCUCCCCGAUUUCCUUAAAAUAAAAAUGAGCUUUACUUUUUCGGCCUAUGUAAACUUUUGCAAGACUCGAAUCAAUGCUCCGCAACAAUUGAGCACGCUCCGGAUCCAUGUUAACCUUAUCCAAAUCAAAUUUAUUCUGCAAAACACAAAAAAUUUAGUUAAUUAAAUAACAAUCACAGCUAAACUUAAAAUUGUAUCCAAAUUACCUUUAGAUGUACAACUGAUGUGUUCCUUAAGGCCAGGGAAACAUUUUCCCAACCAGAUACGUUGAAAGGGACAUUAUUCCACAAAUACCUCCAAAUUUCAUGUGUGAACCAAUUAUCACGCUUCCUGACAGGGGAAUAUGUGAUCUCCUUGUCGAAAUCCAAAUCUACGGACUUCCCUUAUUUGCCCUUAUCAACUUUCCCAACUCGAUAUUUUUUGACAUGCCCCUUCUUUUUUUUGGAAGCUCGGCUGAAAAAAUACAAUUAAAAAUAUUAGUCACGAUAACUUAUUAUAAAAUAAUAAAAAUAGUUAAUAAAUAUAUCAUAAUAAAACUCAUCAUCCUGUUCGUGCUGACCACGACCAAAGCAUCUUGGAGGUGGUGGAUCCUCGGCUCCAUCACCUCCAUGUCCAAGCCCCAUAACAUCGGCCAUCAUGGCCAAGAGUAUCGCCCUAGGCGCUACUCGACCGAUUAGAGAGCGCCUAGCGAUUAAUCAAUGCAUACAAAAUGACUGAAACAGUAAAACACGAUAAAAUUUUAACACUUUGAAGAAGUUAUAUCUUAAUAGAAACUAUUUGAGGUAUGAUUAGUAUUGUAUUUAUCAUAUUAACCUAUUUUGUUAUGAUAUUAAUGGUAUCUAUGAAAAUUUAUAUGAUAUUAGUCAUAUUUAGUUAUUUAAAAUCUAACAAAUUAGCAAUUAAUGGUCCCUGAUUAAUCCCCCGAUUAAUCUCCGCCUAGCCGAUUAAUCCCUUAACCCCAGUCCACCGACUAGCUAACGUCGAACGAUUUUUACAACCUUGAUAGAAAUACAAUAUGAAUAAAAGUUAGUUACCCUGGGAAAUUGUAAUAUAUACAAUAUAGACAAACAACAUAUAUAAAAGUUAGACAAACAAUAUGAAUUAAAGGUACAUUUCAAAUAAAGUUUCUAUUAAAAAAAAAUGAUUUUUUUAAUCAAAAUCUUCAUCAUAUACUUCCAUGUCUUCUUUAUCCGUAUCAUAAUCAGAAUCGCCAUCAUCAUAAUCAGUCUCUUCAUCGAAAACAUUAUUGAUUCUACCCGUUUUCAGUCUCGUCUUCAUCGUCAUAAUCAGCAUUGUUUUGAGCUACGUCAACAUUGCUUUGAAAGUAUUGUGAGAAGUCGAUAAAAAGUCUAGCUCCAGAUGAGAGUUGUUUUGAACUAUGUCAACAUUUUUGGCCUCCACAUUGUCGACAUCUUGGAGAGUUGUUUUGAACUAUGUCAACAUUUUCGGCCUCCACAUUGUCGACAUCUUGGACAAAGUCAUUGUAAGUAUUUUGGACACGAGCAUUGUCGGAUGGUAGAUCCUAAAUAUUUUGAUGAUUAACAUGCUCAACGACACAACGAGGGUUGUUUUUUUUGGUUUCUUCGAUGAUUAACAGGCUCGCGGAUGUAGAACACUUGUUUGGCUUGCGAAGCAUAUAUGAGUUGAUCAUCUUGGUACGCUUCUUUUUCUGUGUCGAUACUUAUGAAAUUAUCAUCAGGAAUAUCUCCCGUAUCGAACCACUUGCACCGAAAUAUUAUAGUCGAAUAAUCAUAUGGAUAUUGCACCUCCAUAAUCUCUUCUAACUGGCCAUAAUAUUUCUCUCCAUUCUCACCAACCGCUAGAACCCCAGAGUUUUGCGUUUUGCAUUGUGCAUCAUGACUAAGUACCAUAAACCUAACACCGUUGACUAUGCACGCAGUGUAAGUAUAAACAUCCAUUUGUGAACCCAUUGAAAGGGCUGACAACUCUUUGUGGAAUUCAGGAGAGUUUUCUUUUUCCAUCUGAUAAACCUAUUAAACAUAUGUUGAUGUGUUAUGUAUUCUUGAUUCAUUAAAUUUAUGAAAGAUAUUUGUUUGUUAAUUAUGAUUACCUUUUCAAGAAACCAGUUGGGAAAUUCGGUCUUUUCGUCACUUUCAGGAUGUUCAGAUUUGAAUUUUCUAUAUUGAUGAAAUAUAUAUAUAUAUAUAUAUNUAUAUAUAUAUAUAUAUAUAUAUAUAUAAUUGAUGAAUGGAAAAAAGUAACAAUAAAUAAUAAAGAUAAUUAAAAGUAAGAACACUUACUCGAUGUAUUGUCUGACUUCUUGACAACUAUUCAAUAUAAACCAUUCUAUAUUACGUUUCUCCGUUAUAUCAAGAUGUUUGAUUUGCGUUGCGCUCGUCGGCCGACACUUGGACUCAAACAUCCAAAAUUUUGUUUUUUCAAUGACAAUGUCUUCGUUUCUUUCAAGGUGAUUGACAUCUCGAAGAUACAUCGAACAAAAUGUCAAAGCUUCUUCAGCAAUAUAACCUUCAACUAUACAACCUUCCAGCCUUGCCUUAUUUCUGACAUAGUUUUUUAGUUUUUUCAUAUAGCUUUCAAAUGGAUACAUCCAUCUCAUACAUACCGGGCCUCCGACAAUCGCUUCAUCAGGUAAAUGCAACACUAAAUGAAUCAUAAUGUCGAAAAAUGUUGGCGGAUAAAUCAACUCUAACUUGCACAAUAUUCUAAUAAUGUAUUCUUUUGCUUUCCUCAUAUCCUCCACCUUUAGUGUUCUGGAGCAAAUUUGCUUGAAAAACAUACAAAGAUCUACAAUUGGUGUAGAAGUUUCUUUGUCCAAUAACGCUCUAACUCCAAUCGGUAUCAAACGUUACAUAAGAAUGUGAUAGUCACGAGAUUUCAACCUAAUAAUGUUAGUAUCAUUAUCUACCACUUUCUUAAUGAUGUUAGAUCCAAACCCAUCAGGAAAUUUAACAUCUCUUAUAAACUGACAAAAGAUUUUGCGGUCAGGUUUCUUGAAUGAGUAGUUUGCAUGUGGUCUAGUGAACUUGUUACCCUUUUUUUUGCAACCAUUGAUUACGCCGGAUAUUCAGUCCUCACUUGCAUUUGAUGUGUCUUUACUCUUAUCAUUCAUCAUAGAAGUACCCAAAAGACUCUCACCCACAUUUUUCUCGACAUGCAUCAAAUCUAUUGUUGUGCUUCAGCUGCAGAGAAUACCAAUACUCGAGCUCGAAAAAUAUGCUACGUUUCGACCAGUUCAACUCGAAUCCUUGACGAUCCAUGUUUUCUUUGAGAGUGUUAGGAUGUUUACCCAGAUUACGAAGUAUUAUACGACCUAGUUGCUCUUGUAUGUCUUCAUUAGUAAAGUGUCUCAGAGUGGGUCUUGUCUCUGGUUGCCCAUUAAAUUUCAAACUCAUCCUUAAUGGAUCAUCAACAUCUAAGAACCGACGAUGACCGAUAUAAACGACUUUAUUUACUGCACGGUACGACGGAGUGUCUUCAUUGCAAGUCAGGCAUGCUCUAUACCCUUGUCCGCUCCAGCCCGAUAAACUAUACGAGCUGANCCCGAUAAACUACUACGAGCUAGAAAGUCGUUUAUUGUCCAUAACAACAUAGCUUUCAUCGUGAAGAAUGUGUUUGUCGUUGCGUCUUUAAUGCGUACGCCUGAUUGCCAUAAAAACUUAAGCUCUUCCACUAACGGCCUAAGGAAAACAUCUAUGUCCUUUCCAGGCGCUUUAGGGCCGGGAAUCGACAAGGCCAACAUGAAUGAUGACUCUUUCAUACAAAGCCAUGGUGGCAAAUUGUAAGUGGUGAGUACAACCUGCCACGUACUAUGCGGAUUACACAUGUUACCAAAUGGAUUAAAGCCAUCAGCUGCCAGCCCUAGUCGUACAUUGCGAAGUUCACUCGAGAAGUCAGGGUAAUCUACAUCAAAUUUUUGCCAAGACUCUCCAUCAACGGGAUUACGCAUCACACCAUCUUCUGAUCUCCCAGUACUAUGCCAUAUCAUAUUUUUGGAAGUGUACCGUGAACAAUACAAACGGCGUAGUCUAGGGGCCACUGGAAAGUACCGUAACACCUUAUGAGCUACUUUCUUACCCUUGGUGUUUUUAUCAAUCCACCAACUCUCUUUACAAAUGAGACAAACUUGCAAUGACUUGUGUUCCUUCCAGAAGAGAAAACAAUCGUUUUUGCACACAUGAAUUGACUCGUACCCCAAACCUAACUUCUUCAGUUUCUUUUUUGCUAAAUAAUAUGAACGGGGAACCUUGUUGUCUGGUGGAAAUGUCGAAUGCAACAACUCAAGGAGUUGAUCAAAUGAACUAUCAGUCCAUUUGUUGUUGGUCUUCAUAUGCACUAGCUUUGCUAAAAAUCAAGGAAUGAAAACGUACAACCAGGAUAUAACUUGGUUUCGACUGCCUCUAACAACUCUUCAAAAUCAUCAUCGACACCACUACCCCCUGUAUUCGAGGUUCCUUCAUCGAGGUUUAUAUUGUUUUCUCUCGACUCCCACAUAACAUCGUCAAUAACAUCAGCCAUCUCGUUGCUUAGCGAUACGACAUCUACAACUGAAGGGAUUAAAGAUUCACUGUGAUAUAUCCAUGUUUUGUAUGAUUGAAUGAAACCAUAUAUACGAACAUGACGUCUCAUUGCUUUCAGAUUCAUGAAGUAACGAUUAUCACAUUUCUCACAUGGACAUCUGGUUGCACCUUUAUAAUCUAGGUGUAACAUGGAUCUCUCAAAAAAAGUGUUGAGUCCUAGCUGGAACUCGGGAGAUUGACGAUGUGGAUUAGUAGUCCAGCUUUUAUCAAUAGACAUGAUGCAACUGAAACAUAAUUUAGUGUUUAAGAUUUACUUUACGGGAAACAAAAAUCAAGUAGAGUAUUCAUAAAGUUGAUGAUUCAAAAAGUAUUCCAACACGGGAUAACCUAAUUAAAGCUAAAUUACAUUGCUAUUAAUAACAUAAUUAAAACUAAAGUUGUAAUGACCAACAUUAAGUCAUUGAAAGUAUGUUAUUUUCUAAUUAUUUAAUAUUUUAUUUUUUAUUAUUAGUUUAAUUUUUAAAGUAAUUUUCUUUUAUUUUAAUAUUAACAUUAACUUGACUUUGAAACUACUUUAAGUUGAUUUUACAAUUAAUUAAAAAAGUAAUUUUAUUUUAUUUUAAUANACUGAAACAUAAUUUAGUGGUUAAGGUUUACUUUACGGGAAACAAAAAUCAAGUAGAGUAUUCAUAAAGUUGAUGAUUCAAAAAGUAUUCCAACACGGGAUAACCUAAUUAAAGCUAAAAUUAUAAUGACCAACAUUAAGUCACUAAAAAUAUGUUGCUAUUAAGUUGGUUUUAUAAUUGACUUAAUUUGAUUUUAUAAAGGUAAUUUAAUUUGAUUCUAAAGGUAAAUUAAUUUUAUUUUCUAAUUAACUUGAUUUUAAAACUACUUUAAGUUGAUUUUACAAUUAAUUUAUUAUUUUUUAAAUGUUUUUUUUAAAUUAAGCCAAAUGUAUAAAUCCAAUUUGCAUAUUCCAAUUUCAUCCAUUUUCAUACAAAUUUAUACAUCUAAAUUUCAUUUUAAGGCAAUGUGGUAUAAACAUAAAUUACAAUCCAACAAAUGUAUAUAUUCAUGCCAAAUUUCAUUUUUAAACCAAUGUAAUCUAAACAUAAAUUACAAAACAUACACAAAAUGCAUAAUAAAAUUCCCACAAAUCUGAAAAAACACACAAUCCAACAAAAUGCAUACAAUCCAACAAAAUGCACAACCACUUCAUAUCUCAAAAUAAUAACAUCAUCACUCAACAAAAUUGAAAAUUACUCACAAUUUAUCAUCUAAAUGAACACCAAAACAGAAAAAUCAUAAAAAAGAGGAGGAAUUCGACCUUGAUUGGGGGCAAGUUCGGAAUGUAGCUAAAGGUCGUCGGUUUUUGGGGCUGUGGCGGUCUUGUGGCAGUCUUGGGGGAAGAAGGGGCUAGCACCGGUCCAACAAGUAAUUUCUAGUCCACCAAGUUGGAAAAAAUUCGCGAGAAUGAAGAAAGACAGAGAGAAAAACGAGAGAAAGAAAGGGUAGUGCGGAAAAAAAUGGCAGAAAGGUAGACUGAGAAGGGAUAUCUACGUAAAGCAUUAGCGGCGAUGCUAGGGAAAUAGCGGCGACACUAGGGCAAUAGCGGCGACAAGUGGAGGGAAAAGUCAGCGCAUUUUUUCGCUUUCCUCUACAGUCUUUGGAUUGAAAAUAAAUCAGACUGUUGGGGUUAAAAUGGCGCGGAUCGCUGUAACAAAGCAUUAGCGGCGACACCUAGCAAUAGCGGCGACAUGUAACGCGUCAAUUACAUGUCGCCGCUAUUGCUUGGUGUCGCCGCUAAAGGCAUCGCCGGUAAUGCCAAGGUUUCUUGUAGUGUGAAAUCUUGGAGUGCAAUCAUUUUUGUUGCUUAUUGUUUCUGGUUUCAUCUGGAAGUGUUCUUUGUUACUAGGGCCUAACAAAUAAUAUUGUCUAGUCUGGUGUAAGAAACACAACCUUGUGGAAGACUUAUGCAAAAGACAUAAAUGUCCUCCUCAUCCUCAUAUGUUGGUUAUCCAGAAUGAUUCGUUGGUUAUCCAUAAUGAUUCAGACAAUAUGGCUCGAUUUCUCAUGCUGGCAAGAGAUCCAAUUCCAGGCACAAAAAGACCCUUCAAAGUGAGUGAUAUCACAAACAUAAUAAUAAUAAUAAUAAUAAUAAUAAUAAUAAUAAUAAUAAUAAUAAUUCACACUAAAACUACAUUUCUUUUGCUUUUCAUAAUGCCAAAAUGUCAUUUUUGCCCUUAAUGUAAAACCAAAAUUCUUUUAGCACUUAUUCAUGUAAUGAGAUGGAAAGUCGUUUGUAGUGGAAACGACCUCUUCUACAGCCUCUUGUAAGCAAUGAUGGUCUGAAGUAAGUUUUAUGACAAUAUAUGCAGAAAUUAAGUGCUAAUUCAAAAUAUUAUAUAUAGCCAAUAUAAGAUGCAUAAGAACAUUACGAAGAUUAUGUAUUUGCUAAUUACACAAGUUAUUUGCGUAUUUGACAUACAGGCAUUUCGACUAUCUCUUCUAUUGUGAUUUUGAAGCAUCAAUGGCUAAUUACAAUGCCCAAAAUGCCCUUAAGCAUUUAAAAGUAAAAUUAUUUAAAAAAGUAUAAUUUUUAUUUACUAUUGUUUCAGUCUUGACUUCUAAGCAAGCAUAUUGAUAGAAAGAUUUUAUCUUAUGACAAGAGUUUGCAACAUUUUUUUGAGAGUUUUUGGUAGCUACCCAAUGGACAUCAAUUUGGUAUGAGUGAACCUAGUCAACCCCUUGAUAGUAAUAUCACAACAAGAAAAGGCACCUUUAGGGACAACAAAAAGCGUCGCUAAUAGUCAAGAAAGUCGCCCCUAAAGGUGUUAGGGACGACUUGUCGUCUCAAUUGGGUCGUCUCAAAUACCUCAUAGCUAAUACUCCAAAUUCGUCCCUAAAGGCGUCGUCUCUAAUACUUAUCGUCGCUAAUACCACUCGUCGUCCCUAAAGGUGUCAUCCCUAAUAAUAUUCCGGCCACCGGCCAGUAUUAUUCCGGCCAAAUAUUCCGGCGGGAUGUGUCAUCGCUAAUGCUUAAGAUUGUCCCUAACGGUGUUGCCACUAAUGAUUUUUUUUAGAUAAAAUUUAUAUGUUAUAUUAGUUUAUAAUAUAAAAAUGCGGAAUUUAUAAAAUUAUAAAACAUAUAAUUUAAAAAUCUGCAUUACAUAAAACAUCAAAUAACAUAAACAAAGUAUAUCACAUUAACAUCAUCUAAAUCUAUAAUAACAUCAUCCAUAUAACAUAAAACAAUAUAUACUGAUCGUCUUCCCCAUCAUCGUUUUCAUCGUCGUUGUUGGUCGCAUUGUCGACUUGCUUGCUAAAUGAGCGCAUAAUAUCUUCAAUUACCGUCACAAACGUCGGGUUUUGGAGAAAAGCAUUAACAUCCAUAUCCUACAAAGUAAGAAUAUAAGUUAAAACAUAUCAUAUUAUAAAAAGAAAUUAUUCUUACUUAACAAUUAAGUCACCGUACAAAAGUUUUAUGCGGUUCUUUUUUUUCUAUUAUUCAUACAUAUUAUUUAUGAGCAAAAAUUUGUUAUUUUAAAAAUGUUGGACUAUGUUAUCUUUACAUUUGAUUUUUAGUUUAUUUGUAAGAAUAUUUUAUAUUAUUGAAAUUUAAAUAAUAUAUACUCUUAUGUAGUUGCAUUGAUGUUAUCUUUAGACUCCUUUUAUCUAAAAUCAAACUAUAUACAUAACAUCAUAUAUACACUAAAUUAAUAUACAAUCAAACACAGUUUCUUAAAACAAAUUUACAAAUGCACAUACAUACAUAAGUAUACACUUACCAAAUAGACAUAUACACAUACCAAUUCAAUAUCAGAUACAAAAUACCAAUUAUACAUAUACAAAUACACAUAUACAAAAUACCAAAUAGACAUAUACACAUUCCAAACAUACCAAAUAGACAUAUACAUAUUCCAAACAUACAUAUACAUAUACACAUAUAGACACACAUAUAUCAAACACUUUUUCUUGAAAUACAUUUUCAAAUAGACAUACAUAUAUAUCAAAUUCCUUAUACAAAAUAAAGUUGUAAAUAUAUAUCAAAUUCAUACAUACACAUAUACACAAAAAUUGAACGCACCUAUGGUUGUAGAGCUGAAAACAGUGGAGCCAGUGGAGAAGUUCGUCGGAGACGGUGGAUGUCGCCAGAGACAAGUGGACGUCGACGAAGACAAACAGCAACAAUGGUGUUGAUGUGGUGGUUCUAAAAGUCGGAGAUUAGAGAAAUCUCCUUAAAACCACCAAAAUCAACAAAAUUAGAGAAGAAAGAAAGAGAAAGAGAAAGAGAAAGAGAAAAGACGGUGGAGAUGAGAAAGGGAAACGCACCUUCGUUGGUGGAGAAGUUCGUCGGAGACUGUGGCGAGCUGAGGUGGUGAUAGUCUCCGGUGGAGCAACUGAAACCCAGUGAGAAGCUGCAAAUCCCUCCGGCGGAAGAAGUGGGAUGCACUGAAAUUCACCAUAAAAUGCUUCCUAAUUGUCGCUGGAAAAUAUGAGAGAGAAAUGGAAACUGGAAAUCAGGUUUUGCGACCUGAUGGGGAACAAAAGGUGGAACCCUUUAAGGGCGACACCUUUAGGGACGACUAUGAAUCAUUAGAGAUGACAAAUCGGAGGGAAAUUCACGCGCUCAUAUUUUUGCCACCUUUAGCGGCGACAACGUCGUCAUAAAUGGCGUCGCCCCUAUUGGUGUGAACAGUAACUAACCCCAUCCGUUGGAUCAGGAUGCAAUCGUAGGGACAAAAAUUGAUCAGGAAACAUUCACACGGGUCGCCAAUCAAACCCUUUAGCGACGCCCAUAUUAGCGAUGACGCGAGGCUUUAGCGACGACAAGAACGCGUAUUGUCGAGUGUCGUCCCUAAAACUUUGUGUCGUCCCUAAUGGUGUCGUCCCUAAAGCUUAUAUUUCUUGUUGUGUAUUUAGUAGAUCAAGGGUUAAAAAAGUAAAAUUCCUAUUUAGAUGACUCUCAUAUACAUUGUACAAAAGUGGCGAAAACUGUGCAUGGGUUAAAUCCACAUGCUUCAAGAUUCAAAAUGAAAAGAAAAGUAAAAUGUUUGGAAUAGUGGAUGAUGAUUACGGUAGAUUAUGCAUAGUUUUGGUGGUAGAAUAUUUUAUUAUUAUUAUUAUUUUUGUUAUUUUGUGUUCGCUCAUCUUGAGAAGUGUUUUGUUCCUUCAACCAUAUUUAGCAACUAGACGACCACCACACAACAACCCCUCAUCCGGAGUGGUUUGUAAUCUCUUCGAUCGGAUGAUUGCUCACUGAAACAUCAAUGAAUUAAGGCAAUAUUGAAAACAAAUUUAAUAGUAUGAUGUGGAUAAAUUGUAAAAUAAUAAUCAUACUUUGUCAACAUCAAUGAUAACAGGCUUAACAUAUACUUUUAUUUUAAAAAAAGAAAAAACAAGUGGGCUUUACCAACUCUUGCUUUCCACUAUGGUUGGCUAAGUCCACAACUGCAAUGAAAGCUCAAGUCUGACCAACCCCACGCACAAGAACCACCCCUCCACCUUCCGAUACUCCAUUCUCACUCCUUAUAUAUUCCCAUACACCCUAUCCUUCCAUUUCAGCUUCAUUUCAACCCACCAUUACCCACUCUCGACUCUCCAUUUCACAGUCAAACACCAGAGAUUAAUUUGUUACAAUGGCUGCCACCGGAGAAGCUCAGCCUGCAAAGCACCAAGAAGUUGGCCACAAGAGCCUCCUUCAAAGCGAUGCACUUUACCAAUACAUUCUCGAAACCAGUGUUUACCCCAGAGAGCCAGAAUCCAUGAAAGAGCUACGAGAGGUCACUGCUAGACACCCUUGGUAAGUCAUAACUGCAUGCAUUUGAUUUCCUAAUGUUAUAUAUAUCGUAUUAAUUAUGAUUCAGGAAUACGUAACUGGAUUAAUUAGCAUAAAAACGUUGUGGGUGCUUUAUGUUAUCUAAUCCUUUGUACAUGUAAUACUAAAUUAAUGCAGGAAUCUUAUGACGACAUCUGCUGACGAAGGACAGUUUUUGAACUUACUUCUCAAGCUCAUAAAUGCUAAGAACACGAUGGAGAUCGGUGUUUACACCGGUUAUUCCCUUCUUUCUACUGCUCUUGCUCUUCCAGAAGAUGGAAAGAUAUUGGCUUUGGACAUAAACCGUGAAAAUUACGAAAUUGGCCUUCCAAUUAUCGAGAAAGCCGGUGUUGCUCACAAGAUUGACUUUAGAGAAGGCCCUGCUCUUCCUCUUCUUGACCAAAUGAUUGACGACGUAAGUAGUUACAAAUUUACGAGAGGUUUAUAUUUAUAAUUUUUAUUUUCUUGAAGUUAGAAUUUAACUUUAGUUUGUAAAUUUGGAUUUACAGGUAAAAUUCCAUGGCUCGUUUGAUUUUAUUUUUGUGGAUGCUGAUAAAGACAACUAUCUUAAUUACCACAAAAGAUUAAUUGAUCUUGUGAAAAUUGGAGGUGUGAUUGGCUACGAUAACACCCUUUGGAAUGGUUCUUUGGUGGCACCUGCUGAUGCUCCACUGCGAAAGUAUGUUAGAUAUUAUAGAGACUUCGUAUUAGAGCUCAAUAAAGCGUUGGCUGUUGAUCCAAGAGUAGAGAUAUGUCAGCUUCCGGUGGGUGAUGGAAUCACUCUGUGUCGCCGUAUAAGCUAAAC
rnacentral:lncRNA from 1 species